rnacentral:rRNA from 1 species
UACGUAGGGGGCAAGCGUUGUCCGGAAUUAUUGGGCGUAAAGAGCGUGUAGGCGGUCCGGUAAGUCAGCUGUGAAAGUCAAGGGCUCAACCCUUGAAUGCCGGUUGAUACUGUCGGGCUAGAGUCCGGAAGAGGCGAGUGGAAUUCCCGGUGUAGCGGUGAAAUGCGCAGAUAUCGGGAGGAACACCAAUGGCGAAGGCAGCUCGCUGGGACGGUACUGACGCUGAGACGCGAAAGCGUUGGGAGCAAACAGG